AGUGAACGCUGGCGGUAGGCCUAACACAUGCAAGUCGAACGGCAGCACAGUAAGAGCUUGCUCUUACGGGUGGCGAGUGGCGGACGGGUGAGGAAUACAUCGGAAUCUACUUUUUCGUGGGGGAUAACGUAGGGAAACUUACGCUAAUACCGCAUACGACCUACGGGUGAAAGCAGGGGAUCUUCGGACCUUGCGCGAUUGAAUGAGCCGAUGUCGGAUUAGCUAGUUGGCGGGGUAAAGGCCCACCAAGGCGACGAUCCGUAGCUGGUCUGAGAGGAUGAUCAGCCAAACUGGAACUGAGACACGGUCCAGACCCCUACGGGAGGCAGCGGUGGGGAAUAUUGGAAAAUGGGCGCAAGCCUGAUCCAGCCAUACCGGGGGGGUGAAGAAGGCCUGCGGGUGGUAAAGCCUUUUUGUUGGGAAAAAAAAGCAGCAGGUUAAUACCCCGUGGUUCUGACGGUCCCAAAAAAAAAAGCACCGGCAAACUUCGU
rnacentral:rRNA from 1 species